GCAACAGCUCAGAUUUGGAAUCUGGCCUUCGGGCCGAGUUGUAAUCUGGAGAGGAUGCUUCUGGCGCGGUGCCUUCCGAGUUCCCUGGAACGGGACGCCGGAGAGGGUGAGAGCCCCGUACGGUUGGACACCUACGGUCUGUGAAGCUCCUUCGACGAGUCGAGUAGUUUGGGAAUGCUGCUCAAAAUGGGAGGUAAAUUUCUUCUAAAGCUAAAUAUUGGCCAGAGACCGAUAGCGCACAA
rnacentral:rRNA from 1 species